rnacentral:lncRNA from 1 species
CUCAAGUCCAAUUAUAAUUUCUAUGAAAACUCUUUUCCAUCAAUCACACUACUGUGGUCAAAGAUUCUCGGACUUAGCCACUCAAAUCUCAUAGGACUACUCCUUUCUAUCAAGAUCGAUAGAUCCCAUCUUGAUGCACACACUACUCCUACAGUGGAUCAACUAUCAUCAAUAUCCACUACAAAGGCUCAUUGAGAUCUAUAUUUAUAAGU